ensembl:snoRNA SNORD116 Small nucleolar RNA SNORD116
GGAUUGAUGAUGACACCCAAAAACAUUCCUUGGAAAAGCUGAACAAAAUGGCUGAAAACUCUAAAUCAUUCUGCUUAUAAUGUCUGAGGUCC